ensembl:lncRNA
CAGUCUUCUGUGUCAUGAUCACUGUUAGGGGUAGAGGGUACCUAAAUCAGAUUUUCAUAUUGUUUUUAUACAUAGACUAUGGGCUCUAAUGGAAUCUACGCUCUUAUUGAGUAAAAGACAAGUGGAGCUGAUCUAAAUUGUGGUCCAGGGGAGAAAAAUUGAAGGUUUCCUAUAUUUCCAUUUGGGGAAAUUGCUUCUCUUCCCUGGAAGUUCAGGGGAUGAAUGGACCUGAGCCCAGGGAAUGGUGCCACCCAUCCCAGGUGGAUCUCUCCACUUUGGUUGUCGUCAACUAGAAACCCCUUCGUAGGCAUGAACAGGAAGGGGCUUGCCUCUGCUGAUUCCGCCAUCUCAUUGGU